UCUCCCUGGGAAGGGGUGGGGGUGGGGGUAGAGCUAUUGCUUACUUCAAAGAAGGUCUUGCAUAUCCAUGUCCCCAAAUUGUCCCUUCUCCUUAAUGCAACGAAACAACCACAUGGUAACUCAAUGGGUACGAUGCUGAUCUUUAGUUGAAUAGGUUUACAUCGAUCAAGUGACAGCUAAAAUAAUACGAAGACACACCCACUUAGCGCGAGCAUAUUUACAUUAACUGUUUGUCUACGGGACGCUCCUGGACGUCAAUCAUUAUUUUCUGUCAAUCAAGUGAUGUCUCAUCCAGUUACACUUUGAGCAGGCCAGAGAGCGAGAAAAUAGAGCGAAAUCUUUAAGGUUGACACUUGAAGCUCAUCAAACAACCUACUGGAGGAACUCAGCAGGUCGGGAAGCAUCUGUAGGGGUGAAGGACUUGCCAACGUUUUGCAUCACGACUGAGAACGAAGAGGUGUGACAGCUGGUAUAAAGCAUAGGUUAUCUCACUCUGUGACCUGCACUUCCUGGAACCAGUUUGAAGUCCUGGCUCAAGAGGAAAGAUGUGUUUCCAGAGGUAUCACCAGGGGUUGAAAGAAACUGUAUCUCCAGAAGGAUGCGGCCCUGAUGAAAAUUAUCAACCACCGUUCCGCUUCUGAGUCCAAAUCACAGCUUUCACAGACACAUGAAUACAUUGUGUUUCCAAUGCUACAUGGGGAACAAUGCUAGUUUUAUCUGUUUUGGUGAAACUCAGUUUAAAAAAUAUACAACGCUACAGACCAUUUUCUGGAAUGUGAGUUGCUAAGUAGACGAUGCAAGGAUUGCUUCAGGAAAUGAAGUACCUUGUUGCUGAGUGUGUUUAAAUAAGAUCAUUACUGUACAAGUAAUAAGAAAUGAGGGAAGUUUUUUUUGUGCAGUGGUUGAAAGCACUCCGUGUUAAGAUUAAACAAUUUAGCCUACUAAUGUGUGGUCAUUACUGUUUAGCAAUUCUGUAAACUCAAACCCACAUUUUAUCAAGGCAGAAAAAUGCCCAUACAUUUUGUAUUGUAGCUUUAAAAUCUCUUAAGACAGCCUUGCACUGCACAGGACACUCUAAAAUUAUAAUGUCCACAUUUUUCUUACUUGUACA